rnacentral:rRNA from 1 species
GAUGAACGCUAGCUACAGGCUUAACACAUGCAAGUCGAGGGGCAGCAUGGUCUUAGCUUGCUAAGGCCGAUGGCGACCGGCGCACGGGUGAGUAACACGUAUCCAACCUGCCGUCUACUCUUGGACAGCCUUCUGAAAGGAAGAUUAAUACAAGAUGGCAUCAUGAGUCCGCAUGUUCACAUGAUUAAAGGUAUUCCGGUAGACGAUGGGGAUGCGUUCCAUUAGAUAGUAGGCGGGGUAACGGCCCACCUAGUCUUCGAUGGAUAGGGGUUCUGAGAGGAAGGUCCCCCACAUUGGAACUGAGACACGGUCCAAACUACUACGGGAGGCAGCAGUGAGGAAUAGUGGUCAAUGGGCGAGAGCCUGAACCAGCCAAGUAGCGUGAAGGAUGACUGCACUAUGGGUUGUAAACUUCUUUUAUAAAGGAAUAAAGUCGGGUAUGGAUACCCGUUUGCAUGUACUUUAUGAAUAAGGAUCGGCUAACUCCGUG